GAGUAAGACGCCAGCUAGGUAAACAGCGAUAGCAGCUGCCCGACCAGAAGAAGAAAAAAACGUUCUUUUAAACGGCUGGCAUUGGAAUAAGCGUGGAGCACAACAGAUCUGCCUUCAAAGGAAUUAAAAUGCAAAUAAACAAAGCAUUGAUUAUUGAAGUAUUCCCACAAGAAAUGAUAUUGCUAUUUGGUGAAGGUGAAGUGACGAUAAUAAGGAUGGUUGCUGCUGUCACAACUGGUGAAUGUGAACUGCUUAACAUUGCAAUUGAUACAAGGCAGAUGCCAAGGAGGACUAGAAUGGCUACUUGGAAUCUGCCAGUGGAAGGACCAACAUUUUAUGAAGUGAAAGUGUACCAGAUCAACAUUUGGCAGAAGGUGCAUCCCAAGACAAAUUCAAAACGGUUUGAAUGCUAUUUCAAGAAGAGGAAGAAGAGGAAUGCCAUUGUCCACUGAUCUGAAAGAGGUGAACGUGGUGGGAGGCCACUAUUUUACAUGUUGGAAUUGCAGCCAUACAUUUGAACCAUGCAAAUGCACAUAGCUGAGUGAAGUAUGUGGGCUAUGAUCAGCUCAAUCUAACAGUGAAAGGCAUUUCACAUUCAGAAGAUAUUUCCUUGAAAAAAUA